AAAAUUGAAUUUUUCAGAUAUGUACUUAAUGAAGAAAAAUUGAUGACUACUAAAAGACUAAAUCAAGAAAAGAGGAAAUAGAUCUUGAUAAAGAUUCUUGCAUGAUUAGAAGUAAAGAUCAUCAUUAUCAUGUGCUUGCUUCAUGAGCUUUAUAUUCUGUCAAAUGAAUGUGUAGAAUUCACUCCUAUGUGGUUACUUCAUUAAAAAUGAGACCUAUGAAAAAU
rnacentral:lncRNA from 1 species